ACUUCAGUGGCCUAGUGGUUAGAGCGUCCGCUUCAGAUGCGGGAGGUCGUGGGUUCGAUGACCUGUCGAGUC